UUCGUAGCCCCCUCAGCCUGGCAUCUGAAGCUUCAGCCCAGAGAUCCCGAGCUGGUGUCGUUCGGAGCCCUUGGGUGCCAGAGGCGGAGGCGCUUCAGCUUGUCGUGCCAGAGAAAUCUCUCCCGCCGCCUUGCGCCGGGGCGGCCUUCGGAGGAUUUGCUUAUCGACGCCGACGAGCGAUUUAGGAGCCCGUGUCAGGGGCAACGCAAGCCAGAAAUCAGUGCCGUCCCCCUUUGGAGAGGGAAGAUUUCUGCACAAACAGGAGCUCCUCGGGAUCGCCACGCAUCCGAAACGCUCGGUGCUCUCCACGCCACUGCCUAUAGACGCCGAGCCCGCAGGUCUUCGCUCGCAGACCCAGCUACCGUCUCCUCUAAACAACCCGUGGGAGAUGCCGGCACCUCCGGAGGGUGGCCCGAUGUCACCAGCUCGGUGCAGACGCACAAAGCCUCCGGCGAGUCUGGCUACCUGCUUCCCGGGGCACCGUGAUCCCAGGGACGAGCUCGGACCUGCCAAAAUCUCUAGCACGGACAACCCCCACGUACGCAACCGUCGCAGCCCGCGUGCCCCGGGAGCAAAACGGCCCCAGUUAAGCCGACUUCAGCAGGACGGAAAAUCAACUGCAGGUCUUGGUCGGUGAAGCUCUUGGAGGUGGUUCCAGUUAGGAAGCAAACGUGAUGAUGGAGUCGGCAGGGAAAAGGAAUGCGGAUCUUGAAAAAUGGGGUGCAAAAAUCAGGAAGUUAACAGAAGAAUUUGAAGAAAGCGACACAGAACUCGAGGAAUGUGACACAGAAAAUG